CCCUCUCUCUCUUUCUCUCUCCAAACCCCACGCACGCCGCGUCGCCGCCUCCUCCUCUCCAUCUCCGCUGCUAUUAUUGCCCGCGCAGACGCAGGCCACCAUCCUUCCUCUCGCUCACGCUCGCUGCUAUAUGGGGGUCCUCCUCAUCGCAUCGCAUCGCAUCACCUCGCACGGGCGCGCGCGCCGUGCCGUGCCGCUAGCUCGAUCCGCCUCGUACGCCAGCUCGCUCGCUCGCUCCCCCACCCCGCUGCUGCACGGCUGCGCCCGCGCUGUCCCCUGUCCCCCCGCUCGCCGCGGCGAUUUAUACCCACCACGCCCCCUGCUGCUGCUAUAAUGCCCAUGAGUGAAGGCGGCGAGGGGUGGUUCUGAGUUGGCCGUUGGCGUGCUGCGUGUGGAGAUGGGGGAGGAGGCGGUGGUGAUGGAGGCGCCGAGGCCCAAGUCGCCGCCGAGGUACCCGGACCUGUGCGGCCGGCGGCGGAUGCAGCUGGAGGUGCAGAUCCUGAGCCGCGAGAUCACGUUCCUCAAGGAUGAGCUUCACUUCCUUGAAGGAGCUCAGCCCGUUUCUCGUUCUGGAUGCAUUAAAGAGUUGCUAAUGUCCUCUUACAUUACUUGUCAGGAUAAAUGAGUUUGUUGGUACAAAACAUGACCCACUAAUACCAACAAAGAGAAGGAGGCACAGAUCUUGCCGUCUUUUUCGGUGGAUCGGAUCAAAAUUGUGUAUCUGCAUUUCAUGUCUUUGCUACUGUUGCAAGUGCUCACCCAAGUGCAAAAGACCAAGGUGCCUCAAUUGUUCUUGCAGCUCAUGCUGCGACGAGCCAUGCUGUAAGCCAAACUGCAGUGCGUGCUGCGCUGGGUCAUGCUGUAGUCCAGACUGCUGCUCAUGCUGUAAACCUAACUGCAGUUGCUGCAAGACCCCUUCUUGCUGCAAACCGAACUGCUCGUGCUCCUGUCCAAGCUGCAGCUCAUGCUGCGAUACAUCGUGCUGCAAACCGAGCUGCACCUGCUUCAACAUCUUUUCAUGCUUCAAAUCCCUGUACAGCUGCUUCAAGAUCCCUUCAUGCUUCAAGUCCCAGUGCAACUGCUCUAGCCCCAAUUGCUGCACUUGCACCCUUCCAAGCUGUAGCUGCAAGGGCUGUGCCUGUCCAAGCUGUGGAUGCAACGGCUGUGGCUGUCCAAGCUGCGGAUGCAACGGUUGUGGCUGUCCAAGCUGCGGUUGCAACGGCUGUGGCCUUCCAAGCUGCGGUUGCAACGGCUGCGGCUCGUGCUCUUGCGCCCAAUGCAAACCCGAUUGUGGCUCGUGCUCUACCAAUUGCUGUAGCUGCAAGCCAAGCUGCAACGGCUGCUGCGGCGAGCAGUGCUGCCGCUGCGCGGACUGCUUCUCCUGCUCGUGCCCUCGUUGCUCCAGCUGCUUCAACAUCUUCAAAUGCUCCUGCGCUGGCUGCUGCUCGAGCCUGUGCAAGUGCCCCUGCACGACGCAGUGCUUCAGCUGCCAGUCGUCAUGCUGCAAGCGGCAGCCUUCGUGCUGCAAGUGCCAGUCGUCUUGCUGCGAGGGGCAGCCUUCCUGCUGCGAGGGACACUGCUGCAGCCUCCCGAAACCGUCGUGCCCUGAAUGUUCCUGUGGGUGUGUCUGGUCUUGCAAGAAUUGUACAGAGGGUUGUCGAUGCCCACGGUGUCGUAACCCAUGCUGUCUCAGUGGUUGCUUAUGUUGAUCUAGAUCCUUUUUUGGUUGUUGUUUUUCUUGUAUUUUUUAGUUGUUAGGCCUUUGAUUAAGUUCGAACUUUCAUAAAUAUAUGGUGUUUAUCCUGUAAAGAAAUGAUGAUUUCAAGGAUUUUUCAUAGCUAUGAGACGAGGUUGAACCA